AGUGCGAUCGGUGGAUGCCUUGGCACCAAGAGCCGAUGAAGGACGUUGUGACCUGCGAUAAGCCCUGGGGAGUUGGUGAGCGAGCUGUGAUCCGGGGGUGUCCGAAUGGGGAAACCUGGAAUGUCCGGAGUAGUGUCCGGUGGCCCUGCCCUGAAUGUAUAGGGGUGUGGGUGGUAACGCGGGGAAGUGAAACAUCUUAGUACCUGUAGGAAGAGAAAAUAAUAAUGAUUCUGCGAGUAGUGGCGAGCGAAAGUGGAUGAUGGCUAAACCAUAUGCGUGUGAUACUUGCUAGGGGUUGCGUGUGUGGUGUUGUGGGGCCGUG
rnacentral:rRNA from 1 species